rnacentral:rRNA from 1 species
AGAACGAACGCUGGCGGCAGGCCUAACACAUGCAAGUCGAGCGCCCAGCAAUGGGAGCGGCGGACGGGUGAGUAACACGUGGGAAUAUGCCUUUCGGUUCGGCACAACUCAGGGAAACUUGAGCUAAUUCCGGAUACGCCCUUACGGGGAAAGAUUUAUCGCCGAAAGAUUAGCCCGCGUUGGAUUAGCUAGUUGGUGAGGUAACGGCCCACCAAGGCGACGAUCCAUAGCUGGUUUGAGAGAACGACCAGCCACACUGGGACUGAGACACGGCCCAGACUCCUACGGGAGGCAGCAGUGGGGAAUCUUGGACAAUGGGGAAACCCUGAUCCAGCCAUGCCGCGUGAGUGAUGAAGGCCUUCGGGUGUAAAACUCUUUUGGCGGGGACGAUAAUGACGGUACCCGCAGAAUAAGCUCCGGCUAACUUCGCGCCAGCAGCCGC